UUUCAAGACAUUUGUAAAAAUCAGAGUGUUUGUGCUUGUGGGUGGUCAUUCUUUUUCUUUUUGUCCUUUAUUCUAUGAAUAUAUUGAAGCAGCACUGAAGGUGAAGUUCUAAUCUAAAAGAGGUAAAUGAUUCUUGCAAUGCCCAGGGAAGAGGGUGAAUCUACAGAUAGUGAGUGUGGCAGGUAGAAAGUAACUGGUCAGUUUGUCUGACAGAUUUCACAUGUCUUGUGCGUGGGUUGAAAUAAUGCUGGCAAUAUUGACCCUUGCAUACGAACUAUGCAUUUAUGCUGCUACAUCUUAGCCUAUCUUUUGCUUGUUCUGUUUUUUUGUUUGUUUGUUUGUUUGUUUUCUAGUCACUCUGAUCUGUUCAGUGUGACUAGACAUGCAGUUGAGAGAGAGUAGGAACAGCCAUGUACUGAUGCUGGGGUAUUUGCCACUUGUACUAGUUAAUACACUGGCCAGCUGCAGCAUAGCUUUAUGGUACCUCCACUGAGUACUCAAGUAUUGGCACCUCUUCCUUCAAGUGACAUCAGAAAUAUAAACAGACAAACAAAAAAAUCAUGUUUCUGUUUUUCCUCCCGUUUCACUGAUCAUGAGCUAGUGCUGGUAUAGGCAGCAACAAGAAUGCUUUUAAAAUAAAGGUGAGGCUUUCACUGAAUAAUUUCUUAUUAUUUCUGCCCACAUGAUGGCAGUAUAUGUUAAUCCAAAACAAGAAAAUUAAAAACAAAUUGCAGCUUUUCAACAACAAAGUUCUCUCCCCUGCUUCCUCCCACCCCCUGGAGGGAAAAAAAAAUAAAAAAAUCCAAGAAGCUAUGAAAAAUUUCUAAAAGGCUUUAUGAACACUUAUGAAAGGAUAACUCCCCUUUAUUGUAAAAGCCCCCAAGUCUUAAGAGGGAGUAAGGCUUCAUGCAAGAACCGCAUGUAACUAACUCUGAAUGUGUAUGGAAUGGUGCUGUGUUAUAAAUAGAAAUGGUCAGUAAAGCUUUGUCAGUCAUACUUGGCUUAAUCAUUUGGAGUCAAUAAAGUCAUUGAAGUAUAAUUACCGCUCCCUGGCAUCAGUUUUGCAAGUGCAGAGCUGGAGUUUUGAGCUCCUAGAUACUGAUUGUUUAAUCUGUGGUAAGAGUACGGAAAGUCUAAACAGACAGACUAUUGAGAUACUAGCUGCAAAAAAGUUUAGGCAUUACUUCAGAAGGAUUAUGACCAGGAACAAAAUCUAUUGAAUCUGUCAAGCUCUUCAUCUAUUUGUAAGUUGAAUCAAGGGAGUUUGAAUGUGUGUGGGGCCUGAGUGUGUUUACUGGAUGGAAUGAGAGAACAUUGCCAAUAGUCACGGUUAAAGGUUAUAAUGUUAAAAAGAAAGGGGGGGACACGACAUAAAAACAACACUUGUUUUUCUAAUCCUUGACUGUACUGUAAUUAAAAAAAAGUAUUAAACUUGAUUUUAUAUUUUGAAUCUUUUACAAGAUAACAAAAAGAACAAAAAGUAUUUUCAACAACAAAAAUAGAAAAGGAGGAACAGAAACUUAGAUCAGCCCAAAAGCAUAAAAUAAGAGGCAUCUGUAAAGCUCAGCAUGUCCCUUUGAUUAGGGUCUCAGAUAAGAUCACCUGUGAUCAAUUUACCUCCUGGGUCGGGUUACAGAACAUGUGAGCACAGGCAGUACUUUUUUCCCCUUUCUUUUUAGUGCUGUGUUCAGUCUUAACAGAUGUGAUUUUUUUCCUUUCUUUUCCUUGAUGUUUUAUAAAUGAGGAAUUGGAGCAGUAUUGCUUUAUUUCCUGAAAAACCUGGACUUGAUGAUACGGCCAGAGAACUGUUCUGUGAUAUGUACCCACAGGAAUAAAAGUGGGUAGAAAAAUUAUACAAGAGUUUUUUUCUUAGUACUUCUGACCUACUGAAGCAGCAAGAGUUCGAACAGUUUCAGGCAAUUCUGCAGAUGCAAGAAAUUUCUUAGUGAGAGAGAUGUAAAGCUAAACAAGCAUGUAUGAGAGAUGGAAAUGGAAACACAGUAAUUUUUUGUUACUUUUUCUAUUGUUUCAUUAGAAUUUCAUUUUUAAAAAUGACUUGUAAGAAUCUGCAAACUCAAACCCACAUUUUCCUGUACUUUCACUUGAAAUAUUUCACUUUAGGCCAACUACUGUGUUAGUGUUGGAGAAAAAUGUCUGCUUCGUGCAUGUGUAGCGUAGCAGUAGGGAAGCCAUGCAUGUUCUGGGAGAACAAGAGACAAGAGACAGCAGACAUAACUUAAAACAUGAGAGGUAGCCCUUGCUCUGCGCAGAAAGUUGGACUAGAUGAACUACCAAGGUCCCUUACAAACUGGGUUAUUCUUUAAGAUUCUGUGGUCAAUAUUUUUUGUGGUCAAGCUUUUUUUCUUUUUUCCUCUCAAAUUAUUAAGUAUGCAAUUUGUGAUGGUUUGUUUGAAAAUGAGUAUGCGCAAGAUUUGAGAACUGGAAAUGACUGAAUAUUAAAGAAAACCAAAUUUGAUAUAGGUCUUAGAACACAGGCUGUAGUGUGUUUUUAGUA